ACUCCUACGGGAGGCAGCAGUAGGGAAUCUUCCACAAUGGGCGCAAGCCUGAUGGAGCAACACCGCGUGAGUGAAGAAGGGUUUCGGCUCGUAAAGCUCUGUUGUUAAAGAAGAACACGUAUGAGAGUAACUGUUCAUACGUUGACGGUAUUUAACCAGAAAGUCACGGCUAACUACGUGCCAGCAGCCGCGGUAAUACGUAGGUGGCAAGCGUUAUCCGGAUUUAUUGGGCGUAAAGAGAGUGCAGGCGGUUUUCUAAGUCUGAUGUGAAAGCCUUCGGCUUAACCGGAGAAGUGCAUCGGAAACUGGAUAACUUGAGUGCAGAAGAGGGUAGUGGAACUCCAUGUGUAGCGGUGGAAUGCGUAGAUAUAUGGAAGAACACCAGUGGCGAAGGCGGCUACCUGGUCUGCAACUGACGCUGAGACUCGAAGGCAUGGGUAGCGAACAGGAUUAGAUACCCUGGUAGGAUAGCG
rnacentral:rRNA from 1 species